rnacentral:rRNA from 1 species
UGGGGAAUUUUGGACAAUGGGCGCAAGCCUGAUCCAGCCAUGCCGCGUGAGUGAAGAAGGCCUUCGGGUUGUAAAGCUCUUUCGGACGGGAAGAAAUGGCGGGCUCUAACAUAGCCCGUCGAUGACGGUACCGUAAGAAGAAGCACCGGCUAACUACGUGCCAGCAGCCGCGGUAAUACGUAGGGAGCAAGCGGUGUUCGGAUUUACUGGGCGUAAAGGGCGCGUAGGCGGCGCGGUAAGUCACUUGUGAAAUCUCUGAGCUUAACUCAGAACGGCCAAGUGAUACUGCUGUGCUAGAGUGCGGAAGAGGCAACCGGAAUUCUUGGUGUAGCGGUGAAAUGCGUAGAUAUCAAGAGGAACACCUGAGGCGAAGGCGGGUUGCUGGGCCGACACUGACGCUGAUGCGCGAAAGCCAGG